UGGUUCUGGCAUCGAUGAAGAACGCAGCGAAUUGCGAUAAGUAAUGUGAAUUGCAGAAUUUAGUGAAUCAUCGAAUCUUUGAACGCACAUUGCGCCCCUUGGUAUUCCGGGGGGCAUGCCUGUUCGAGCGUCAUUACUCCUCUCAAGCGUAGCUUGGUCCUGACCCCGACGACCCUCACACGGUCGCGGUCGAAAACGAGUGGCGGUCCCGUGCGACCUCGAGUACAGUAAUUUUUCAUUUCUGAUCUUACUCCGAUGUUCGCGCGGCGUCCGGCCAGCAAAUCGUCCCCGGACGACCUUCAAAUAAUUGACCUCGGAUCAGGCAGGGACACCCGCUGA
rnacentral:misc_RNA from 1 species